UACAGAGGUCUCAAGCGUUGUUCGGAUUCAUUGGGCGUAAAGGGUGUGUAGGUGGCGCGCUAAGUCGGGUGUGAAAUUUCGGAGCUUAACUCCGAAACUGCAUUCGAUACUGGCGUGCUGGAGUGUGGGAGAGGCGCGUGGAAUUGCAGGUGUAGCGGUGAAAUGCGUAGAUAUCUGCAGGAACACCCGUGGCGAAAGCGGCGCGCUGGACCACUACUGACGCUGAGGAACGAAAGCUAGGGGAGCAAACAGG
rnacentral:rRNA from 1 species